rnacentral:rRNA from 1 species
UACGUAGGGGCAAGCGUUGUCCGGAAUCAUUGGGCGUAAAGAGCGUGUAGGCGGUCCGGUAAGUCGGCUGUGAAAGUCCAGGGCUCAACCCUGGGAUGCCGGUCGAUACUGCCGGACUAGAGUUCGGAAGAGGCGAGUGGGAAUUCCCGGUGUAGCGGUGAAUGCGCAGAUAUCGGGAGGAACACCUAUGGCGAAGGCAGCUCGCUGGGACGUUACUGACGCUGAGGCGCGAAAGCCAGGGGAGGCGAACGGGAUUA